AAUAUCGCGUUGAAAUACCGGUUCUGAUCAUCGAAGUUAAGAUACGUCAAGACUGCUCAGUACUUAGAUGGGUGACCACUUGGAAAUACCAGGUGCUGUAAG